UACGUAGGGGGCAAGCGUUGUCCGGAUUUAUUGGGCGUAAAGAGCGUGUAGGCGGCCAGACAGGUCCGUUGUGAAAACUGGAGGCUUAACCUUCAGACGUCGAUGGAAACCGUCUGGCUAGAGUCCGGAAGAGGAGAGUGGAAUUCCUGGUGUAGCGGUGAAAUUCGUAGAUAUCUGGAGGAACACCAGUGGCGAAGGCGGCAUCCUGGACCGGCAUUGACGCUG
rnacentral:rRNA from 1 species